GGCCGGUUGGCGCAAUGGUAGCGCGUGGCCCUCCUAUACACUCCGUCUUCAGACGUUGGAAUAGGCCAAGGUUGCAGGUUCGAGUCCUGCAUCGGUCG